AAGAAAUGUGGCAUGCCCGUUGUGAUUACUCUGAUGACUGAUGUAUUAUUAUAAUUUUAAUUGAUUUUGGGAAACGGGAUGUUACAAGUUU
rnacentral:pre_miRNA from 1 species